CUAAAAUAGUAUAUAAUUAUUUAUUGAAACUUAAAUAUUUUGGCGGUAUUUUAGUUUAUUUAGAGGAAUCUGUUUAUUAAUUGAUAAUCCACGAAUAAAUUUACUUAAUUUAUUAUUUUGUAUAUCAUUGUUAAAUAAAUAUUUUUUAAUAAUAAAUAAUAUUUAAAAAUUAUAAUAAAAAAUUAAAUCAAAUCAAGAUGCAGAUUAUAAUUAAGAAUAUAAUGGAUUACAAUAAAUUUAUUUAAACGAAUUUUAAUUUGUAAUAAAUAUAUGAAGGUGGAUUUAAAUGUAAUUUUUUUUAUUU
rnacentral:rRNA from 1 species